UUGCAUCUGUUGACAGACUUGAAGCAGAUUACUGUGGCUUUCCAGGUUUUUCUUAACAUGCAAGAUUAAUUUUCUUGUUUUCUGUUUGAUUUCAUAACAAUUCAGAUUGAAUAGAGUAAUACAUAU